GACGAACGCUGGCGGCGUGCCUAAUACAUGCAAGUGGAACGCUGAAGGAGGAGCUUGCUUCUCUGGAUGAGUUGCGAACGGGUGAGUAACGCGUAGGUAACCUGCCUGGUAGCGGGGGAUAACUAUUGGAAACGAUAGCUAAUACCGCAUAAGAGUAGAUGUUGCAUGACAUUUGCUUAAAAGGUGCAAUUGCAUCACUACCAGAUGGACCUGCGUUGUAUUAGCUAGUUGGUGGGGUAACGGCUCACCAAGGCGACGAUACAUAGCCGACCUGAGAGGGUGAUCGGCCACACUGGGACUGAGACACGGCCCAGACUCCUACGGGAGGCAGCAGUAGGGAAUCUUCGGCAAUGGACGGAAGUCUGACCGAGCAACGCCGCGUGAGUGAAGAAGGUUUUCGGAUCGUAAAGCUCUGUUGUAAGAGAAGAACGAGUGUGAGAGUGGAAAGUUCACACUGUGACGGUAUCUUACCAGAAAGGGACGGCUAACUACGUG
rnacentral:rRNA from 1 species